rfam:Gallibacterium anatis TMN179, complete genome.
GGGGCUGAUCUAGGAUUCGACGGGAUUAGCGAAGCCCAAGGUGCAUGUCGAGGUGCGGUAGGCCUCGUAAAUAAACCGCAAAACAAUAGUCGCAAAUGACGAAAACUACGCUUUAGCAGCUUAAUAACCUGCGUAAAGCCUUCUCUCCCUAGCUUCCGCUCGUAAGACGGGGAUUCAAGAGGAGUCAACUUAAACGAGAUCGUGUGGAAGCCGCCGUUUGAGGAUCGAAACACUAAAUUGAAGCAAACUAGCUUAGUUAUCGCGUGUCUGUCCGCAGUGAUUGAGUGAAAUUAAAGACUAGACUAAACAUGUAGUGCUGAAGGUAGAGGAAUUUCGGACGGGGGUUCAACUCCCCCCAGCUCCACCA